GUGGGGAAUCUUAGACAAUGGGGGCAACCCUGAUCUAGCCAUGCCGCGUGAGUGAUGAAGGCCUUAGGGUUGUAAAGCUCUUUCAGUGGGGAAGAUAAUGACGGUACCCACAGAAGAAGCCCCGGCUAACUCCGUGCCAGCAGCCGCGGUAAUACGGAGGGGGCUAGCGUUGUUCGGAAUUACUGGGCGUAAAGCGCACGUAGGCGGAUCGGAAAGUUGGGGGUGAAAUCCCAGGGCUCAACCCUGGAACUGCCUUCAAAACUAUCGGUCUGGAGGCCGAGAGAGGUGAGUGGAAUUCCGAGUGUAGAGGUGAAAUUCGUAGAUAUUCGGAGGAACACCAGUGGCGAAGGCGGCUCACUGGCUCGGUACUGACGCUGAGGUGCGAAAGCGUGGGGAGCAAACAGGAUUAGAAACCCCGGUAGUCC
rnacentral:rRNA from 1 species